rnacentral:rRNA from 1 species
CCGGCGCACGGGUGAGUAACGCGUAUCCAACCUGCCCACCACUUGGGGAUAACCUUGCGAAAGUAAGACUAAUACCCAAUGACGUCUCUAGAAGACAUCUGAAGGAGAUUAAAGAUUUAUCGGUGAUGGAUGGGGAUGCGUCUGAUUAGCUUGUUGGCGGGGUAACGGCCCACCAAGGCGACGAUCAGUAGGGGUUCUGAGAGGAAGGUCCCCCACAUUGGAACUGAGACACGGUCCAAACUCCUACGGGAGGCAGCAGUGAGGAAUAUUGGUCAAUGGACGAGAGUCUGAACCAGCCAAGUAGCGUGCAGGAUGACGGCCCUAUGGGUUGUAAACUGCUUUUAUAAGGGAAUAAAGUGAGUCUCGUGAGACUUUUUGCAUGUACCUUAUGAAUAAGGACCGGCUAAUUCCGUGCCAGCAGCCGCGGUAAUACGGAAGGUCCGGGCGUUAUCCGGAUUUAUUGGGUUUAAAGGGAGCGUAGGCCGGAGAUUAAGCGUGUUGUGAAAUGUAGACGCUCAACGUCUGCACUGCAGCGCGAACUGGUUUCCUUGAGUACGCACAAAGUGGGCGGAAUUCGUGGUGUAGCGGUGAAAUGCUUAGAUAUCACGAAGAACUCCGAUUGCGAAGGCAGCUCACUGGAGCGCAACUGACGCUGAAGCUCGAAAGUGCGGGUAUCGAACAGGAUUAGAUACCCUGGUAGUCCGCACGGUAAACGAUGGAUGCCCGCUGUUGGUCUGAAUAGGUCAGCGGCCAAGCGAAAGCAUUAAGCAUCCCACCUGGGGAGUACGCCGGCAACGGUGCAACUCAAAGGAAUUGACGGA